GAUGAACGCUAGCGGCAGGCCUAAUACAUGCAAGUCGAACGAUACCAGAGAGCUUGCUUUCUGGGAAAGUGGCGCACGGGUGCGUAACGCGUAUGCAACCUACCUUAAUCAGGGGGAUAGCCUCUCGAAAGAGAGAUUAACACCGCAUAAAAUCACACUUCGGCAUCGAAGAAUGAUCAAAUAUUUAUAGGAUUAAGAUGGGCAUGCGUGACAUUAGCUAGUUGGUAAGGUAACGGCUUACCAAGGCUACGAUGUCUAGGGGAUCUGAGAGGAUGACCCCCCANACUGGUACUGAGACACGGACCAGACUCCUACGGGAGGCAGCAGUAAGGAAUAUUGGUCAAUGGGGGCAAACCCUGAACCAGCCAUGCCGCGUGCAGGAAGACGGCCCUACGGGUUGUAAAGCUCUUUCGGCCGGGAAGAAAUCGCACAGGUUAAUACCCUGUGUGGAUCGACGGUACCGGAAUAAGAAGCACCGGCUAACUACGUGCCAGCAGCCGG
rnacentral:rRNA from 1 species